AAAGCGCCUGUAGGUUGUUUAAUAAGUCUGUUGUUAAAGACUAGGGCUCAACCCUAGGAAAGCAAUGGAAACUACUAACUUGAGUAUGAUAGGGGUAGAGGGAAUUUCUAGUGUAGCGGUGAAAUGCGUAGAUAUUAGGAAGAACACCGGUGGCGAAGGCGCUCUACUGGAUCAUUACUGACACUCAGAGGCGAAAGCUAGGGUAGCAAAAGGGAUUAGAUACCCCUGUAGUCCUAGCCGUAAACGAUGGAUACUAAUGUUGCGUUUAUUAUGCAGUAUCGUAGCUAACGCGUUAAGUAUCCCGCCUGGGGAGUACGCUCGCAAGGGUGAAACUCAAAGGAAUUGACGGGGGCCCGCACAAGCGGUGGAGCAUGUGGUUUAAUUCGAUGCAACGCGAAGAACCUUACCAAGGCUUGACAUACUACAAAUUUCUUUGAAAGAGGAAAGUGCCUUCGGGAAUGUAGAUACAGGUGGUGCAUGGCUGUCGUCAGCUCGUGUCGUGAGAUGUUGGGUUAAGUCCCGCAACGAGCGCAACCCUUAUUUUUAGUUGCUAAUUUAUUAGGUUUUCUAGAAAGACUGCCGGUGACAAACCGGAGGAAGGUGAGGAUGACGUCAAGUCAGCAUGCCCCUUAUGCCUUGGGCUACACACGUGCUACA
rnacentral:rRNA from 1 species